rnacentral:lncRNA from 1 species
GGCCCUCUCAAAUGUACCUGAUGUGUGAGCUGAGACAGCAGGCUGCAUGUUUCUGGUAGUCAGUGACUUGGACAUGGAGAAAGGGCCCAGCCCCCGAAUGACAGAAGCAAACAGCAGAGAUCAGGGACAAGUGGUAAAAAGUCUGAAUAUAGAAUCAGAGUGGGGCAUGCGCAGCGAGCUAGAGAAACGCCUGCAGAUUGCUGGAUGACGUUGGGCUGUGAUUGCCUUCAUGGUGCAGGUAUGGGAACUGUUUACAUUGGGGGAAUGGGACAUAAUGGCCAGGAGGAACACUAUUCUCUGGGUGUGACUAAAUUCAUUUUUCACUGGAAGGGAUUUGAGUAAUGUAUGGAUAAGCAUUAAAGGUAGAGAAAGUCCAGAGUUGUCUAAAAUUUCUUCCCCAGACCUUCCUGUAGGUUUACUUCCUCAGUCCAUGGGACAGGUUGGGCAUACAUCUUUGUUCAGUCCAGAAGCAGAAUGUGACUGAGCUCUGCUGUGGGGUGGCUAGGGAUCAUCUCGGCUUUAUCCAUACAUCCUGGACACUGUGCGCACUAGUGUUUCCUAAGUGGUUGACUUUAUGUCCCUAUAAAGCAACAACUGGUAUUUUUUUAAAAAGAGACAUUCAAGUGAUGUACUUCUCUGACAUAUUAAGGAAAAUAAGGUACCUGUGAUGUGAGAAACAAAGCAGAUGGAUAGGUCAAUAAAAUUCAAUAUCCUUAUCACCUGCAGCCCAAUGACAAAUACUCAAGGCAGUCAGAGUAUAACAUUCCUCCAGGAAGCUCCCAAUUGUCUUACUGUUAAUGCCUUGCUACCAGGAAGGACAACCUUAGCGUGACAAUAGCAAGGACCCCUUAUCCUAUGAGUCUUUAGCACAUGAAAGUCUUUUCAGAACUUCCCUUUGUCUUUCCUUAACCCUGACCCCAAAGUUUAUCAUCAGUUGCCAAUCCAUGGCCAGCAUCUCUUUCUGCCCAUGGGUCCUGCCCUCGUGCUUUAAUACAACCAACCACCUUUUUGUACCAAAGAUUUCUCAAGAGUUCUUUUUUGGCCUUUGGCUCUGGACCUCAACAGCACUACUCUAAGAAAACACAUCACAUGUAAUUAAAAAAAAAAAAAAAAUAAAUUCCAGGACCCUCUGAUAAUCCCGAAAAGGCAAUACAAGUAAUAGACACUGAAAGAGAAAGAGAAGCUAGGAUCUAAGAAUUUGAGAAAUCACCAAGAGCAGAUUACUAGGGAAACAUUUUCAUACAGGCAUUUUUCAUGCUAAGUCAAAGAGGAAAAAAAAUAUUUCCUUGCCAUACUUUUAGGAUCUCUCUCCAGAAUGUUUUUGCUACUUCCUGAAUGUUGUGCCCAAGACUGCGAAUCCGAGAAACCACCAAGGAGCCGACACUGAUGCAAGCGCAGGAGGGUUUAUUAGCAAGCUCGAGCUUCGGUCCAAGUAUACCCCACACAGCAGAGCAGGGACUUGGACCUCGAAGUGGAUUACAGCUGGGUUUUUUAUAGGCUGGUCUAGGGAACCUCCAGAAGGGGUGGAGGAAUUUCUCAAGUUCUGUUUACAUUCUGAUAUGGGGCUUUCAAGGGAAUUGAGCUCUGUUCUCAUUCUAAUAUGGGACUUUCUACCACUGGCAGGGGCGUGGCUCUGGCUUUCUGAUAUGGGAUUCUCUGCCUAGGGCAAUUCUGAGCUCUGUUGUCUUUCUGAUAUGGGAUUCCCUGCCAAGGACAUUGAGGACAUUCUGCAGUUUUUCCUGUAAAGUUCAGCUCUUAUUCACAGGGGCCUAAAAUGGCUGUACUUGUGCUAAUGCUAAACUUUAGGUGGGAUGGCCUUAAUUUUUCUCGGCCUCCACACUGAACUCUUUCUGAAAACCUUGUAAGAUGUAUUAGUCCUAAAUUCUUCAGGCGCACCAAAGUUGUUGGGUUUUUUCCCUCCUUCUGUUAAAAAAAUAUCUAUUACUACAUUUUCACAAUCAAGCAAUACUGGAGACAAAAGACAGUAAGUAAACUAGAGAAUAUAAUGACAUGUCUUCCUCAAGUUGUCUGCCUACAACUUUCAAGCAGUUUGAAGCAUUUACUCUUAGAGACCAAAACUUGGAAGAUAUCUAAAACUCAUACAUGAAGGCCAAAGGCAACUAUCGAUACCAUCCAGGUCUGGAGCACUCUUACAACUUCAUCCACCUAUAGGCUUGCAUGCACAACCAGAAAGAUCAACACAUUUCCAGGCAGUAUUAUGUUGUAUGCACCGAAGCACUUGUGUUCCAUCGUCUUGCAUUUUGGGCAAUGCAAAUAUAAAGUCCUAAGGUCAAGGAAAGAAGUGUUAAAAUGGAACAGGGCUACCUUUCUUAGAGGAUACAGGCUGAACAAUUGCCUUGCUAAACUAAACUGGUUCUCUCUGAAAAAGAUUCUAUUAGUCCUUCCCCUGCCUGAGUUUUCAUUUCACACUAUGCUGAGAAACCAGAGGGAAAAGCCAAAAGGAACUUAGGGGGAUAUUGUGCCCCUGCUCGGAAUGUCCACUGGCAAAUCUUUUCUCUGCCUCUCCUUAUUGCAAAUCACACUUCAUGGCC